rnacentral:tRNA from 1 species
GGACAGGUGGUGUAGUGGCAACACACCUGUGGUACUGCGGGAACCCUGUGGUUCGAAUCCCGGUUUGUCCG